GUGAUUUUAGAUGAUAAAGAUUAUUAAGCAAAAGAAAAUAAGAAAGACCCAGAUCAGCUGGCAGCUACUUAAUGCUAAAAUAUUGCAAUUCAUUACUUUUCCAACGACAUUAAAUUCCAAUAUGAGCAGGAAAUGACGAACAACCGUGAAACAUCAAUUUGCCAUAGAUACAUAGAUAGAAAUACAUAUAUGCGCAUUCAAUUUGCGGAAAUAAAAGGGAAAAAUGAGGGCAAAAACUUGGAGAACAGUUUCCACGAUACUUCUACAGUCAAUUAAAAAAUAAUCCUUACAAG
rnacentral:misc_RNA from 1 species